rfam:Rattus norvegicus chromosome 2, whole genome shotgun sequence.
GGAUUUAGCUCAGUGGUAGAGCGUUUGCCUAGCAAGCGCAAGGCCCUGGGUUCGGUCCCCAGCUCCG